rnacentral:rRNA from 1 species
CCCUUAGAUGUCCUGGGCUGCACGCGCGCUACACUGAUGUGUCCAGUAAGCACCUAACCUCUUCCGAAAGGAACGGGUAACCUUUGCAAAGCACAUCGUGAUGGGGAUAGAUUAUUGCAAUUAUUAGUCUUGAACGAGGAAUUCCUAGUAAGCACAAGUCAUCAGCUUGUGUUGAUUACGUCCCUGCCCUUUGUGCACACCGCCCGUCGCUCCUACCGAUUGAAUGUUCCGGUGAGCUCUUCGGACUGCGCGGUCUGCAGUUUCUGCGUUCCGUGCGGAAAGUUGCGCAAACCUUAACAUUUAGAGGAAGGAGAAGUCGUAACA